UGCGGAGUAAAGCAGUCUGGUAGCUCUCAAGGCUCAUAACCUUGAAGACACAGGUUCGAAUCCCGUCUCCGCCA
rnacentral:tRNA from 1 species